UGCUGAGGGUUUAAAGUCUUAAGAGGCCGAUUCCAUUCCCUGUAAAGAAGACACACUCCGUUCCUAUUGAAUACAUACAGCAUAUGUGCAUUAUUGCCUGAUGCUGUCGGCGGCGGUGGCGAGGGACUGAUCUCUGAUCCUCCGAAGAACUGCAUCUUCUACAAAUACCUUUACUGUGGAUCGAUUGACUGGGUAGAGGCAGUGAUUGAGA
rnacentral:misc_RNA from 1 species